GUGUCGCAUCCUCCGUUAUUUAAAGUGUGCCCCCGGCUGUGGGUUGUUGUAUUGCCCCUCUCCUACCUUGUCUGUGAUUGGCUUUAGUGAUGCUGAUUGGGCUGGGAGUCAUUUCGAUCAGCGUUCUACUUCUGGGUAUUGCACCUUCGUUGGCGACAAUCUUGUCACUUGGCGUAAUAAAAAACAGCAUGUUGUUGCCCGUUCUAGUGCUAAAGCAGAGUACCGUGCUAUGGCUCAUACUGCUUCCGAAAUGAUGUGGGUUCAUUCUCUUCUUGCUGACUUUGGGAUCACUGUUCCUAGUCCUAUGCAGAUGUUUUGUGAUAAUCAGGCUACCAUCUUUAUUGCUAGCAACCCCGUUUUCCAUGAGGGAAGCAAGCAUAUAGAGGUUGACUGUCACUUUAUUCGGGAUUUAAUACUGUAGAAGCACAUUGUCACUCCGUAUGUUCGCUUUGAAGACCAACUAGGUGAUAUUCUUUCGAAGCCUUUAUCUCGUUCUUGUUUCGGACAAUUGAUCAUCAAGCUGGGCAUGUUCGACAUCUAUGCUCCAGCUUGAGGGGGAGUGUUGAAGAAUGUCCUUAUUUGCUUCAUUUAUUUCUUAACUCUAUUUAUUUUAUUUAGGGUAUUCUUGUAAUUCUCUUCCUAUUUUGAUAUAAGUAUAUUGUGGAGUGUGGAUGCUAGUUAACGCUUCUACCUCUUUUGCGUUCUUUUCUCUCUCUUCCUCCUCCUUCCAUUCUUUUCUACAAACCCUAAAUUCAUAUUAUAUCAUUCAACUCAUGCAUUAAGGUCCAAUAUAUUGGAAACACAAACAUAUUGGCUGUUUGAGGGGCAAUACGAUUUUUCCUUGAAGAGGUAGCCCAAUGAGGACAGGAACAAGGCAAGAGCGGGACUAGCACAAUGACAAUCUUUUCGUAAAGAUUCAUACCUAAAGAACCCAAAAAUCCACAUCUAGGAGAGGUAAUAUCAUUCUAUUUCAUAAGCUAAUCCAAAUAAUAUCCAUAGUCCUACAAAUAGGUUCCUCUAAACCACAACAAUAAAACAAAGAUAAGAACAACCUAACUAUUUUCUGAAUCCAUAAAGUCUUGGGUAAGAAAUAAAUCUAACAAUCACUAAAUAAUAUAUUUUCUACCGGUAAAAUAACAUAUUGGUGACUAUAUAUGUAACUUCAUCGUAUAAUUAAUAAAAACAAGUGUGUUUAUACAAAAAGAUGGUUUGAAAAUUAAACACUUCAAAAAAUAGAUCAAACAAAUAUCCGCAUAAAGCUAACUGAUGGUAUGGAACUGGGGGAUGGAGAUGUCUGCUAGGGAUCAGGAGUAGUAUUUAAUAAGAUUUAGGAGGCAAGGGAUGAGGGGGAGGGAACUUUCCCUCCAAAAUGAAGGGUAAAUGUGACAUAAAACAUUUAAUUUGAAUGGACGUAGCAAAGUUCCAUCCAAAAUGCGGACGGAAGGGUGUCAAGUGAUACCAAUUGAUAGAUGAGGGGGUGUGGUUGAUCGGUUUUAAAGAUAAAGGGUUUUAAGUGAUAGCGAGUACAAGAUGAGGGGGUCUAAGUGAUUUUUACCCUAAUUUCAAUGUUUAGUAGCCUUGUUUGGUUGUUGGUAUUAUAUUAACAAUUUAUCUUUUGUCCUAUGUCAUGCAAUUUGUCUUUUGUAAUUGUAGUGUUAGAACCUACUAGUUUUGGUUGUUUUGGGUACAAUAUUAAUAAGAAUUACAACUAAAAACACGUAAAAGUAAUACCUAUAUCUUUUCUUCCUUGUCCAUGUCCCUGCUUCUUAGUUUCGGAUGUAUGGGGAAUCGGGGUAUAACUUUUGAUUUCAAAAGGUUUUCCAUCAGUACGCGGAGGCUACACUGCUACAGAUGAGUGAGGUCAUCAACAUGAGAACUGGUGAAUGUUGCGGAUGACGUAGGAGCCAACUCGUUGAUCAUACUCUUGUGAACCAUACACUUGAGAGAUCAAGGCAAAUGAUGGCCUGCUGGUUUGUCUUCACCCUUUAUCGCCUUUCACAAUGGCCCACAGAUGAAAACCAAAGAAGUUGUAAGAGAAAUGUGGAAUAGGAAGACCGGCAAGAGGACGGACUCUACUACCCCCUCUUCAGCUUCACAAACUGGCACCAGACCAACAACGGAAAUCCAACAUCUUCAGCCUCACAACCUCACACAGUGGGGACGAUGGAAACCCAAAAGAGUGAAAAGUUCAUGGAAAUGUGGACUUUUCAUUGUACUUCCACAUAGAGACAUUCUAAUCUGGUUUGGGGUAGCAUUUUGUGGAAGAUUGCGUUGGCAGACCACUGCUGCAUUUGUGACAGAAAUUGAAUGCAUUUGUGCUCACAGGCCAGGGAAUUUUCUUGCUCUAAUAUUGUUUAGAAGCUGUCACUAGCUGCUACCAAUUGUUGGCUGUGGAAGGAAACGAAUAGCAGGCAGUUCCAGAGGAAAGAGAUAACAACAGAGGCCUUGAGUUUUCUGAUUGAGGAUGAGAUUAGAGCUAGCAUUUGCUCUGGAAGGUGAAGCUGACAGAUGAUAAUAGACAUUUGGUUAGAAAGUGGAGGCUAUUGUGCAUACUGAUGCUCUGGACUAUCAAUGAAGGAAGCAUGGUAAUGUGCACAGAAAUUAAAUUGGGUUUCUAAGCCUGCCCUCUCUGAUGUUAUUUGGCUUUGAUUAGUGGGCAUGGUUCCACAGCAAAACAGGUAUAGGAGGGCCAUUGUUUCAGUGGUAUUCUGAGAGCAGUCACUUUGUGCAUAUUGUCAAAGGUUAUGUCUGUCUCCAAUCCUCCCCCGCCCAUACCCCCAAUGAUUGGGGACAAUAUGGGUUCUGUUGUUGUUAGAAAAUGGAGGCUACCAGGCAGAAUUUUAAUAGUUUGAUUUCCUUAUUCCAGUCAUGGUUGGUUUUCUUUUGCUCUGGUGCAGCAAUGUCGCUUGCUGUUUUGUCUGAAGUGUAGACUUGGUUAGUUGUAUUGUAUGGGCUCUGACCCCUGGAUUCUAGUUUAUUUGCUUAUAAGAAAUUAA